AGUACGCGUGUUGAUAUUAUAAACUUUAAAGCUGAUGUAAAUGUUCACAGGCGAUGGAAGAUAGCAGGAAAAAGACGAUCGCGAGUGAUCAUGUUUAUUUUGAAGCUCCUGUUUAAAUUAUAACCCACAACUGCGGAUUGUGUUCAACAUGGUGUACAUUUGAAUCCUAAUGUUUUGUAUAGACAAAAUAGAUUUUUUUUCUCUGUUGUUAUGUGUAUGUGUGUAGAUUUUGUUUAUCAUAAUUUUUACACCAUGCACAUUACUACGGUUCACCUCAAACAUCCUACCACCAUUAAGUUGUCUAAUGACGUCAGUAACGAUUGGACAGUGGAAAUUGUCUCCCUUUCCGGACUCGUUGUUCUUUUGGUUGGAGUUUUGUGCUUACUUUAUCACGUUGGAUCUCGUAUAUGUGCGGGUGGACAAAAUCGAAGUGCUUAUGAAAAACUGGGAACUCGAGAUGAUCUGGAAUAUAUGGAUGGAGGAUAUUGCAAAUUAAAAGAUAUAUCUACUCAUAGUAAUGGACAAUUGCUGAAUGAAAAACGUUUAUUAAUACCUGUAUGAAUGUAAACUAUUAUUUAAUUUCCUGAAUGCAUGUACAAUGUAUAUCUUUGUAAAGAUGUAAAUGCAAUUGGUAAUGGACCCCACCUUUGCCCAUUAUUGGAUUGUUGUUAAAUAUUAACAAUAUAACUUCUUAUUUGUUAGUCCCAUAUACAUGUUACCUUGAUUAUUAUUUGUUUUCUUGACUUACAUGGAAUGCCAGUAAUAGAUAUGUAUUUUAUAUGUGUAAAUUUUACUUCGGUCUGUCAGUUUUUCUGGAAAAAUUCAGGGUAAUUGUAAAUUUAAUUAUGUCCAUUGUCUAAAGAGAAAGUAAGCUUUUGUAUAUUUAUGUUUUGAAUUGCUCGAGUGCAAUUUUGUUAUUUCUUUUGUAUUUGUUUUAUUCACAUGUGUAUUGGAUAGUUGCAUGUAGUCCUAGGAAUAUUUUUUGGUAGUUAUUUUUUCUAUUUGUUCCAAUUACAUGUUUGAAUUGUUGAUCAAGAUUUAUUUGAUCAAUAAAUUUCUUUUCAACAUACAUAGAGUUUUUGUUGUAAAGUAAGGAGGAGGCAUAAAUACGAUUAUUUGUUUAUUACUUACCAUUUACGAUUAUAUCAAUUUUUUCAAAUACU